GUGCUCGCUUCAGCCACAUACAUAUUAAAAUUGGAAUGAUAAAGAGAAAAUUAGCAUGGCCCCUAUGUGAAGAUGAUAUGCAAAUUCAUGAAGCAUUCCAUAUUUUU